rnacentral:lncRNA from 1 species
UUUUUAUACAAAGUUCUGAAGCCAGACAAAACACUUAUGCAUCACUCUUGCUUCAGGAUUACCGGCAUUUAGAGUUAGCCUUGCCAUCAUGUAUAGGUGUUUAAAGAUGAUAUCACUAACAGGAAUGCUACAGGUUCACCUGUAACAUUUGCAAGACAAAGGAGUCCUAUAGACCAUAUGUUUAAAUAUUUAAAUUACAAAUCAAGCUAGCAAACUGUUACCUAUGUUCUAUUCUUGACAGAUAUACAUCACCAUCACAAUUCCUUAGAGUUGCAUCAUGGAAUGUGGCUCUUUCCCAAGAGAGUGAGCCUCCCACUGCACAUUCAGCUUCCUCAUCACGUGUACCCAUUGCUAGCUUCUUUCACAUUACAGAGAGUGGAAACUGGCUUGGACGUGGAUGAAUCUGGAGAACAUCAUCCUCAGCAAACUGACACAAGAACAGAAAAUGAAACACCGCGUAUUCUCACUCAUAGGUGGGUGAUGAAAAAUGAGAACACAUGGACAUAGAAAGGGGAGUACUAAACACUGGGGUCUAUUGGGGGGAAAAGGGGAGGGCCGGUGGGAGGGAGAGGUGGGGAGGGAUAGCCUGGGGAGAAAUGCCAAAUGUGGGUGAAGGGGAGAAAGGAAGCAAAACACACUGCCAUGUGUGUACCUAUGCAACUGUCUUGCAUGUUCUGCUCAUGUACCCCGAAACCUAAAAUGCAAUAAAAAAAUAAAAUAAAUAAAAUAAAAUAAAAAAUUUAGGAUCCAAAAAAAAAAAGAAAGCUCAGGAAGGUCCUUUCCCAAACUUUAUAUUUUCAAGAAAAGGCACCUGUGGGUGCAGCAGGUUUACAGGAUCCCAUAUGAUCUAGCCCUGCCUUCCUCAUCCACCUUAGCCUACUGCACUUUGCUUCUUGUUUUCUUAUUUCUAGGCGUCUGGACUUUCAGAUAUUCCCCUCAAUCUGUGUCAACUCCCACCCCUGUUGCACACACGAUUUUCUCUGGAAUGAUCUCUCUAGAUACUACUGCUCUACCUCCCUCACUUCACCUUUGCUUCUGACUCCCAUUCAUGAAUCAGGUCUAAAUUUGGGAGCAACUUCCAAUAAGACCCCUUGAGCUAACCUCCUUGUUCCAUUAGGUCCCCUGUAAUAUGCUCUUUGCACAGAGCUCUUCCUGAACAUCUACCCUGUAGCACUUGGUACAUUCAUAACUAUCUGAAUAAUGCUUCCAUUUACUUAACAUCUGUGUGACCUACCAGAUGAUAAGAGCAACAAGCUCACACUGUAUUGUCAGUACCUGUUAAGUGGAGAUUAACUCAAGGGCUGACAGUCAAACGGAGGAAUAUCUCUGUCUUUGGAGAAGAGGCAGCAUCAAAUGGUGGAAAGACCUUUAGUCUGAGAGUCAGGAAUCCUAAGCCCUUGUCAUAACCCUGAAGUUAAUCUCUUGGGUGACUGAAAUGGUUAUAAAAUGAAAAGGUGCCUGAAAAUUUCUGAUAUCAUGGCAGUGAAAGACAAGAGAGGAGUUAUAUGCUUCAACCAUAUUAAACUGCUGAUAUUUAACCUUUUUUUAAACUACUAAAGUGGCAAUUUCAUACGGUUUAAACAAAUUGAAUAGAAGUCCUUUUCAGCUUUGUUGUGGAGUCAUUGGGUUUCUGCUACAAAGCUUGGAGUCCCAUUUUAAAUGAAUUUUUUUCUAAGGUGGUUGAGUCAGCUCACAGAGAGGAAAGUGUGCUCUGUGUGUGGGACAUGGAGAACUGGUCCUAACUGGUCUCAGUGAGCAAAGAAGGUGGGCUCUGGUCAUCACUGUCCCCAAAUCACGUUUUCUCACUCUCAGUCAUAAGUCCCAAAUCUUCACUUUGAACAUGGUUUGAAAAGAUGAUGUUUUUUCAUGUUCUUAUGCUUGCCCCUCGGCCGUUGUGAAGCAAUUUCUACAGAAACGAUGGUCUGCCACCAAAUAAGAGUUUGCUAAGAAUAAAAAUUGAAUUUCGUCUGCCUGUUGACAAGCUGAUUGAUCUGGGGGCUCUUGUGACCGAAUCGUCUCCUAAGCACAUUCUCAUUUAUCAUGUGCAAGAUUGUUUCAAAAUCAAUAGCAGCCCUGCACAGACGAGUGUCUGCUGGGGACUUGUCAGGGCCCACAGCAUUCCCUGUAAUGCUGCUAAUUUUUUUUGACAGAAUUAUUUCAGCAGUGAAAUCAUUCUGUGCCUAUUAUCCCCAUGCUCUUACUAGAAUAGUUGAUUGAGGCCCUAAUUUUUAAUAUCCUCUUUGUAAAGAUUGAGCCUUAAGGAGUUUGCCCUUUUUCAUCAUGAGGUUAGUUCCUCACCCCUGCUUUUCUUGCUUAAAAAUCUGGUUUGAGAAUUACCUUAUAUUUUAGGAUCUCAUUUGGGUGUAGUAGGAAGCAACUCUAUAUUCAACUUGCAUCACGCAACUAUCAUAGAGAAGCAGGAGUGAGGCAACCUGACUUCACUGAAUAGAAUAGCUGCGUGACUUCCGAAAUUUUAUUUCCCUGUCUAGGCCUCAUUUUAAGAAAUUGAUGUCAAAUAAUGUCUUAAGAACACCGUUUUUAACAGGCUGUUGAUUGAAGUCAGGAGCUGCAAAGUGAAGGUACAUGGGUAGGAUUCAGACGGCAGAUAGAUUUUAUCUAAUCUCCAAAGUAUCUGUUUGUUUUGUUUAACUUAAUUCACCAUUUUCUACUUAAUUUUAAAAAUUAAUUUGUUAAUAUUUUUCAUUUACAUGCAGUACAAUUAACUCUUUUUGGUGUAUAGUUCUUUGAGCUUUGGCACAUGCAUAGACUUGUAACCAAUGAAAGCGAGAUACAGAAGAAAUUCCACAUUCCAAAGAAUUCCUUUGUGCUUCUUCUUGGUAUUUCCCACACUCCACCACAAAUUCAAACCUUUGACAAUCACAGAUGUGUUCUCUUUCUAUAGUUUUGCUUUUUUCAAGAUGUCAUAUAAAUGAAAUGAUAUCAUUAAUUACAUUUUGAGAUUCAGUUCUUUUACUUAGCAUAACGCAUUUGAGAUUGAUCAUGUUGUGUGUUACCAGCAUUUGCUCCUCUUUGUUCCUCGACAGUAUUCCAUUGUAUGGAGGUACCACAGACAUAUUAUAGUUUGUUGAUUCACUCACCCACUGAAGGGUAUUUAAGCUGCUCCUAGUUUUUGAUGACUGCUAUUGCUUGAAUGUGUCCUUCCCAAAAUUCAGGUGUUGCCAAUGUAAUAGUAUAAGAUGGGGGACCUUUAAGAGGCAAUUCAGCCAUGAGGGCUCCUACUUGUAUGAAUGGGAUUUAUGUCCUUCUAAAGGAGACUUCAGACAGCAUUGAUCCUUUUUGCCCUUCCGCCUUCUGUCAUGUGAGAACAGAGCAACAGGGUGCCAUCUUGGAAGCCAAGAACAAAGCCCCACCAGACACCGAAUCUACCAGUGUUUGAUCUCAGACCUCCCAGACUUCAGAAAUGAGAAAAUAAAUUGUUGGAAUUUAUAAAUUACCCAGUGUCAGAUAUUCUGUUAUGGAAGCACAAAAUGGACUAAAACAAUAAUUAUGAGUAAUGCUGCUAGAAACAUUUGAGUACA